rnacentral:rRNA from 1 species
UACGAAGGGGGCUAGCGUUGCUCGGACUCACUGGGCGUAAAGGGUGCGUAGGCGGGUCUUUAAGUCAGGGGUGAAAUCCUGGAGCUCAACUCCAGAACUGCCUUUGAUACUGAGGAUCUUGAGUUCGGGAGAGGUGAGUGGAACUGCGAGUGUAGAGGUGAAAUUCGUAGAUAUUCGCAAGAACACCAGUGGCGAAGGCGGCUCACUGGCCCGAUACUGACGCUGAGGCACGAAAGCGUGGGGAGCAAACAGG